rnacentral:rRNA from 1 species
UACGGAGGGUGCAAGCGUUGUUCGGAAUUACUGGGCGUAAAGCGCGUGUAGGCGGUUGAGCAAGUCAGAUGUGAAAGCCUUCCGCUCAACGGAAGAAGUGCAUUUGAAACUACUCGGCUAGAGUUCGGGAGAGGAGAGUGGAAUUCCCGGUGUAGAGGUGAAAUUCGUAGAUAUCGGGAGGAACACCGGUGGCGAAGGCGGCUCUCUGGCCCGAUACUGACGCUGAGACGCGAAAGCGUGGGGAGCAAACAGG